CGGGGAACCCGCACAAGCAGCGGAGCAUGUGGUUUAAUUCGACGCAAACGCGAAAAACCUUACCAAAUCUUGACAUCCUUUGACCGCCUAAGAAAUUAGGUCUCUCUAGCAAUAGAGCAGAGUGACAGGUGGUGCAUGGUUGUCGUCAGCUCGUGUCGUGAGAUGUUGGGUUAAGUCCCGCAACGAGCGCAACCCCUAUUGCUAGUUGCCAUCAUUCAGUUGGGCACUCUAGCGAGACUGCCGGUAAUAAACCGGAGGAAGGUGGGGAUGACGUCAAAUCAUCAUGCCCCUUAUGACCUGGGCUACACACGUGCUACAAUGGUUGGUACAACGAGUUGCGAGUCGGUGACGGCGAGCUAAUCUCUUAAAGCCAAUCUCAGUUCGGAUUGUAGGCUGCAACUCGCCUACAUGAAGUCGGAAUCGCUAGUAAUCGCGGAUCAGCACGCCGCGGUGAAUACGUUCCCGGGCCUU
rnacentral:rRNA from 1 species